AGAUUAAGUUAUUAAGGGCGCACGGUGGAUGCCUUGGCACUAGAAGCCGACGAAGGACGUUACUAACGACGAUAUGCUUUGGGGAGCUGUAAGUAAGCUUUGAUCCAGAGAUUUCCGAAUGGGGAAACCCAGCACGAGUUAUGUCGUGUUAUCGAUAUGUGAAUACAUAGCAUAUCUGAAGGCAGACGCGGAGAACUGAAACAUCUUAGUACCCGCAGGAAGAGAAAGAAAAAUCGAUUCCCUGAGUAGCGGCGAGCGAAACGGGAAGAGCCCAAACCAAUGAGCUUGCUUGUUGGGGUUGUAGGACACUCUAUACGGAGUUACAAAAGAACAGACUAGACGAAUCAUCUGGAAAGAUGAAUCAAAGAAGGUAAUAAUCCUGUAGUCGAAAGUUUGUUCACUCUUGAGUGGAUCCUGAGUACGACGGAACACGAGAAAUUCCGUCGGAAUCUGGGAGGACCAUCUCCCAAGGCUAAAUACUCUCUAGUGACCGAUAGUGAACCAGUACCGUGAGGGAAAGGUGAAAAGUACCCCGGAAGGGGAGUGAAAUAGAACUUGAAACCGUGUGCUUACAAGUAGUCAGAGCCCGUUAAUGGGUGAUGGCGUGCCUUUUGUAGAAUGAACCGGCGAGUUACGAUUUGAUGCAAGGUUAAGCAGUGAAUGUGGAGCCGUAGCGAAAGCGAGUCUGAAUAGGGCGUUGAGUAUUUGGUCGUAGACCCGAAACCAGGUGAUCUACCCAUGACCAGGUUGAAGUUCAGGUAACACUGAAUGGAGGACCGAACCGACUUACGUUGAAAAGUGAGCGGAUGAGUUGUGGGUAGCGGAGAAAUUCCAAUCGAACCUGGAGAUAGCUGGUUCUCUCCGAAAUAGCUUUAGGGCUAGCCUCAAGUGAUGAUUAUUGGAGGUAGAGCACUGUUUGGACGAGGGGCCCUUAUCGGGUUACCGAAUUCAGACAAACUCCGAAUGCCAAUCAAUUUAACUUGGGAGUCAGAACGCGGGUGAUAAGGUCCGUGUUCGAAAGGGAAACAGCCCAGACCACCAGCUAAGGUCCCAAAAUAUAUGUUAAGUGGAAAAGGAUGUGGCGUUGCCCAGACAACUAGGAUGUUGGCUUAGAAGCAGCCAUCAUUUAAAGAGUGCGUAAUAGCUCACUAGUCGAGUGACACUGCGCCGAAAAUGUACCGGGGCUAAACAUAUUACCGAAGCUGUGGAUUGUCCGUAAGGACAAUGGUAGGAGAGCGUUCUAAGGGCGUUGAAGCAUGAUCGCAAGGACAUGUGGAGCGCUUAGAAGUGAGAAUGCCGGUGUGAGUAGCGAAAGACGGGUGAGAAUCCCGUCCACCGAUUGACUAAGGUUUCCAGAGGAAGGCUCGUCCGCUCUGGGUUAGUCGGGUCCUAAGCUGAGGCCGAUAGGCGUAGGCGAUGGAUAACAGGUUGAUAUUCCUGUACCACCAUUAUUCGUUUUAAGCGAUGGGGGGACGCAGUAGGAUAGGCGAAGCGUACGAUUGGAUUGUACGUCCAAGCAGUGAGAUUGAGUGUUAGGCAAAUCCGGCACUCUUAAGAUUGAGCUGUGAUGGGGAGAGGAAAUUGUUUCCUCGAGUCGUUGAUUUCACACUGCCAAGAAAAGCCUCUAGCUAGAAUUGUGGUGCCCGUACCGCAAACCGACACAGGUAGUCAAGAUGAGAAUUCUAAGGUGAGCGAGCGAACUCUCGUUAAGGAACUCGGCAAAAUGACCCCGUAACUUCGGGAGAAGGGGUGCUCUUUAGGGUUAACGCCCAGGAGAGCCGCAGUGAAUAGGCCCAAGCGACUGUUUAUCAAAAACACAGGUCUCUGCUAAACCGUAAGGUGAUGUAUAGGGGCUGACGCCUGCCCGGUGCUGGAAGGUUAAGAGGAGUGGUUAGCUUCUGCGAAGCUACGAAUCGAAGCCCCAGUAAACGGCGGCCGUAACUAUAACGGUCCUAAGGUAGCGAAAUUCCUUGUCGGGUAAGUUCCGACCCGCACGAAAGGCGUAACGAUUUGGGCACUGUCUCAACGAGAGACUCGGUGAAAUCAUAGUACCUGUGAAGAUGCAGGUUACCCGCGACAGGACGGAAAGACCCCGUGGAGCUUUACUGUAGUCUGAUAUUGAAAUUCGGCACAGCUUGUACAGGAUAGGUAGGAGCCUGAGAUACGUGAGCGCUAGCUUACGUGGAGGCGUUGGUGGGAUACUACCCUCGCUGUGUUGGAUUUCUAACCCGCACCAUUUAUCAUGGUGGGAGACAGUGUCAGAUGGGCAGUUUGACUGGGGCGGUCGCCUCCUAAAGAGUAACGGAGGCGCUCAAAGGUUUCCUCAGAAUGGUUGGAAAUCAUUCAUAGAGUGUAAAGGCAUAAGGAAGCUUGACUGCGAGACUUACAAGUCGAGCAGGGUCGAAAGACGGACUUAGUGAUCCGGUGGUUCCGCAUGGAAGGGCCAUCGCUCAACGGAUAAAAGCUACCCCGGGGAUAACAGGCUUAUCUCCCCCAAGAGUUCACAUCGACGGGGAGGUUUGGCACCUCGAUGUCGGCUCAUCGCAUCCUGGGGCUGUAGUCGGUCCCAAGGGUUGGGCUGUUCGCCCAUUAAAGCGGUACGCGAGCUGGGUUCAGAACGUCGUGAGACAGUUCGGUCCCUAUCCGUCGUGGGCGUAGGAAAUUUGAGAGGAGCUGUCCUUAGUACGAGAGGACCGGGAUGGACAUACCUCUGGUGUACCAGUUGUCGUGCCAACGGCAUCGCUGGGUAGCUAUGUAUGGACGGGAUAAGUGCUGAAAGCAUCUAAGCAUGAAGCCCCCCUCAAGAUGAGAUUUCCCAACUUCGGUUAUAAGAUCCCUCAAAGAUGAUGAGGUUAAUAGGUUCGAGGUGGAAGCAUAGCGAUAUGUGCAGCUGACGAAUACUAAUCGAUCGAAGACUUAAUCAAAUUUUA
rnacentral:rRNA from 1 species